CCUACGGGAGGCAGCAGGGGGGAAUAUUGCACAAUGGAGGGAACUCUGAUGCAGCGACGCCGCGUGAGCGAUGAAGGCUUUCGAGUCGUAAAGCUCUGUCGAAUGGGAAGAUAAUGACGGUACCAUUUGAGAAAGCCCCGGCUAACUACGUGCCAGCAGCCGCGGUAAUACGUAGGGGGCGAGCGUUGUCCGGAAUUAUUGGGCGUAAAGGGUUCGUAGGCGGCAAUGUAUGUCAGGUGUGAAAGACGGUGGCUCAACCAACGCAAGCAUCUGAAACUGCAUAGCUUGAGAAAAGGAGAGGUAAGUGGAAUUCCUAGUGUAGCGGUGAAAUGCGUAGAUAUUAGGAGGAAUACCAGUGGCGAAGGCGACUUACUGGACUUUAACUGACGCUGAUGAACGAAAGCGUGGGGAGCAAACAGGAUUAGAUACCCUGGUAGUCCACGCCGUAAACGAUGAGUGCUAGGUGUCGGGUGUCAAAGCUCGGUGCCGAAGUUAACACAUUAAGCACUCCGCCUGGGGAGUACGUGCGCAAGCAUGAAACUCAAAGGAACUGACGG
rnacentral:rRNA from 1 species